rnacentral:rRNA from 1 species
AGGUAAAUUUGCUUAUUGCACACAUGUGUUUUUCUUUGAAACAAACUUGCUUUGGCGGUGGGCCCAGCCUGCCGCCAGAGGUCUAAACUUACAACCAAUUUUUUAUCAACUUGUCACACCAGAUUAUUACUAAUAGUCAAAACUUUCAACAACGGAUCUCUUGGUUCUCGCAUCGAUGAAGAACGCAGCGAAAUGCGAUACGUAAUAUGAAUUGCAGAUAUUCGUGAAUCAUCGAAUCUUUGAACGCACAUUGCGCCCUCUGGUAUUCCGGAGGGCAUGCCUGUUUGAGCGUCGUUUCUCCCUCAAACCGCUGGGUUUGGUGUUGAGCAAUACGACUUGGGUUUGCUUGAAAGACGGUAGUGGUAAGGCGGGAUCGCUUUGACAAUGGCUUAGGUCUAACCAAAAACAUUGCUUGCGGCGGUAACGUCUACCACGUAUAUCUUCAAACUUUGACCUCAAAUCAGGUAGGACUACCCGCUGAACUUAAGCAUAUCAAUAAGCGGAGGAA